rnacentral:rRNA from 1 species
UACGUAGGGGGCUAGCGUUGUCCGGAAUCAUUGGGCGUAAAGCGCGUGUAGGCGGUCCGGUAAGUCCGCUGUGAAAGUCGGGGGCUCAACCCUCGAAUGCCGGUGGAUACUGUCGGGCUAGAGUGCGGAAGAGGCGAGUGGAAUCCUGGUGUAGCGGUGAAAUGCGCAGAUAUCAGGAGAAACACCCAAUUGCGAAGGCAGCUCGCUGGGACGUUACUGACGCUGAGACGCGAAAGCGUGGGGAGCAAACAGG